rnacentral:lncRNA from 1 species
CGAGUCUGCGGGGCUGGACGCUGACUGCCCGGGCCAGCACCUAGGCGGGCGGGAGCUGUGCGGCCCAGGGUUCACGCGGGCCGGGUAGAGGCUCGAGCCGGGACCCCCGAGCGUGAACCCCGGAGCCGGCGGCGCUGGGGCCAGAGGGGCCGGGCGGGAGGUGGUGGCGGAGGCGAAGGGGCGACGGGACCUGGGCCUGGCCCGUGUGUGUCCUCGGCGGCCUGGCGCCGGCCGUCGCUGUACGGUGAGCCCCAGGGAGGCGGAUCUGGGCCCCGAGAAGGACCCCCGCCUGGAUUUGCCCCGUAGGCCCGGCCCGGGCCCCUCGGGAGCAGAACAGCUUUGGUGAGGUGGACAGGAGGUGACCUCGCGAGCAGACGCGCGCGCCAGCGACAGCAGCCCGCCCCGGCCUCUCGGGAGCCGUGGGGCAGAGGCUGCGGAGCCCCAGGAGGGGGCCAGUGUCAUUCAAAGAUGUGGCUGUGGAUUUCACCCAGGAGGAGUGGCAGCAACUGGACCCUGAUGAGAAGAUAGCAUACGGGGAUGUGAUGUUGGAGAACUACAGCCAUCUAGUUUCUGUGGGGUAUGAUUAUCACCAAGCCAAACAUCAUCAUGGAGUGGAGGUGAAGGAAGUGGAGCAGGGAGAGGAGCCGUGGAUAAUGGAAGGUGAAUUUCCAUGUCAACAUAGUCCAGGUUCAAGUGCUGGGGCCGGCAGUGGAGAGUUCCACGUGUACAGACAUCUGCGCCGGAGAGAAUAUCAGCGACAGGACUACAUGGAUGCCAUGGCUGAGAAGCAAAAAUUGGAUGCAGAGUUUCAG